AGUAAGUGUUGCAAAAUACGCGGCCUGAAAAAAUAGAAACUAGCCGACGCUUUUUUAAAGUGUCGGUUAUUUUUUUGC
rfam:Human gut metagenome DNA, contig sequence: F1-T_000093.